rnacentral:sRNA from 1 species
AUACAGAAGAAGAAGCACCCGCUUCUCACCUGAGUGACGCAUAGAGCAGUUAGCAGGUACAUCGUAUCUUAAUUAAAACGAUAGAAGUGUGGGUGCAGUAUGUACUCACACUUUUUUGUGUGA